rnacentral:rRNA from 1 species
UACGUAGGGUGCAAGCGUUAAUCGGAAUUACUGGGCGUAAAGCGUGCGCAGGCGGUUUUGUAAGUUUGUCGUGAAAGCCCCGGGCUCAACCUGGGAAUUGUGAUGAAGACUGCAAGGCUUGAAUCUGGCAGAGGGGGGUAGAAUUCCACGUGUAGCAGUGAAAUGCGUAGAGAUGUGGAGGAACACCGAUGGCGAAGGCAGCCCCCUGGGUCAAGAUUGACGCUCAUGCACGAAAGCGUGGGGAGCAAACAGG